GUUAUUAUGUCCCCACAGUUAUGGGCUGUCAUUGGCUGGGUACACUGGAGACUCAUCUGGAGUGCUUUGUGGGUAUCAGCAUUUUUUAUACUUGCUGCAUUGCUUCCAAGCUUGGAUUUUCUUCUGUGAUGGAAAAAGCAUUAAGCAUGAUUAUGUGAAGAAGAACUGCAUGCUGGAGUGGAGUGGAGUGCUUCAUUUACCAGAUGAUUUCACUGUGGCUUUCUGUUCCAAUACAGCAUCCCUCUCAGGUCAGAUGCUCAUCCUAUACUCAAAAUCUGUGCCGAAUGCAGGCUGGAAAGAACUCAAGGAUAUGCAGCUGCCUUUUCUAUGCACAGGGCUGGACCAGAAAGCUCCACUGUAAUGAAAUGUGAUGGCUUCAGAGGGACUGCUCAGUUGUGAAGCCUAAAGAGGAAUAUACAUACUUAAGAUUCCUUUUGCUUUGUUUUCUCUUAUAUUAUUUUAUCUUUCUAAUAGGAUUAUGUCUGUACUAUUUGGAAUAUCUGGUGGGCCUAGAGUUCUUGUUCAGGGUCAGGCUAGAUGCUGUAUGGUGUGACUGUUAACUCAGUAUUAGAAAAACAAAGUAUUAUUAAUUUUUGCAUCUCAUGUGGUGAAAAAAUCCUGGUGUCCUAACAAAGGAAAUGUUAAAAUCUGCAGUAUAAAAACACAUAAAAUAAAUCUAACUGGCUUUAACUGGCCCA
rnacentral:lncRNA from 1 species